GUGACUGCACAGCAGCCGCUCCUGCACCGGUGCUUCAUCUCCUUCUUCCAACAUCCCACCCGUCCACUUUCUCCACAUGCAGAGUGCUGGAGACAUGGCCGGAGAGUUUCCAUGGUGUGUGUCCGAGACAGGGACGGGGAGAGAGAGCUCUCUUAUUGAAUACUUAAAAAACAAGCCAUCCCUCCUGAAUGCGCAUUCAAACAGAGGCACUUGCAUAUUAACGCUACGUUAUAUCUUCUUAUAUCUCUGUUUGAGUCUAGACGUGCCUAUGCGUGCUUUGUUGUAUUAAAGUACUUUUAUGUCUUUGAGUGUUGGGUUAUUAUUUCCUAAGCUUUUGAGUAAAAUUUGAAUUUUUUUGUCUUUGUUUUAUAUAAACAGAGCGUAAUUUUAAUUAGAAAGCACUGUUUAAACAUUAAUUAUGAAUUAUGAUACUCUAAUCAAUGCAUGUUAAUGUUUUCUUAAUAAUUUAUUAAUGUCGUCCGAUAUCUUUAGCCUGCAAAAAUUUACUUUUUAUGAGCUACAAAAGUACACAAGACUAUUCUACACACGUUCGAGCUUUUUAAUUAUUAUUUAAGAUCUAUUUAAGGGCUUAAAAAAUGCAAGUUUGAUGGCUUGCACGUUGGGGUGCUAUGGGGAUGUAAUUGCACAACGUACGCUAGAUGGCAGCGCGAUCCAGACAUUUUUGAGUCUGAGAAGCCUGCAGAAACACUGAUGCAUAAAAGCUGGAAUCUCCGUGCAAAUUCCACGUAACUUCGCUCGAUUUUGAAUUAAUGUCAUUAUUAACACUUUUAAAAAAA